rnacentral:rRNA from 1 species
AUGGUGGAGGAAUCAGAUGGAAGAGAAUGGAGGCUUUCAGGAUUGUAUGGGGAGCCUAGUUGGGAUAACAAGGAUCGUACGUACCAGCUAAUACGUGGCUUGCAUGCUCAAUCUAAUCUGGCGUGGGUGGUCAUUGGUGACUUUAAUGAGAUUUUGUCCUCAUCAGAAAAGGAGUAUGGUGCGCCGCGGUAGCAAUCGCGGUUACAGGCCUUCCAAGAUGCACUUUCAGAUUGUUCCCUGGAGGACAUAGGUUACCAUGGAGACAAAUUCACAUGGUUUCGAGGAGGAUUGUUUGAACGUUUGGAUCGUGAUGUAUCUAACGUCGGAUGGAUGGAGAUGCAUCCCAUGUCCGGGCUGUUCAAUCUAGAGAUGGGGAAGUCGGACCAUCGAGCGAUUUGCCUAGACACAGAAUACCUGGUGGGUGUUGCGGCCGCCAAGUCGCAACCUAGUCUGAAAUUAGAAGCGUGUUGGCUGUCACAAGAGAUAGUGGAAGAGGUGGUCAAGACGGCAUGGCAGAAGGCAGUGGUGCAUGGCCUGUGCCCGUCGGCAAGCGCAAAACUCAAGGCUGUCCACACAUAA